UACGUAGGGGGCGAGCGUUGUCCGGAAUCAUUGGGCGUAAAGCGCGUGUAGGCGGUCCGAUAAGUUCGCUGUGAAAGUCGGGGGCUUAACCCUCGGAUGCCGGUGAAUACUGUCGGGCUUGAGUACGGAAGAGGCGAGUGGAAUUCCUGGUGUAGCGGUGAAAUGCGCAGAUAUCAGGAGGAACACCAAUUGCGAAGGCAGCUCGCUGGGACGUUACUGACGCUGAGACGCGAAAGCGUGGGGAGCGAACAGG
rnacentral:rRNA from 1 species